rnacentral:lncRNA from 1 species
GGGCAGACGUGAGGGCGGGCGGGAGCGGUUGGCUCCGCCAGGAGCUCUAGGGCGCAAAUGCGCUGCUGCAGCGCUGCCUGAGGAAGGGCGAGCGGCCCUCGUGCAGUGCCCGAUUGCGCUCUGCGGAGCUUGGCGGCCCAGUGCCCUCGAGGGCUCGCGGACCUGAGAGAUGGCGUCAGGGAGGGACGCUCAGUGCUGGCGCUUGCUGUUGCUGCUUUCCAUCUCCGCGCUUCUCCCCGCUGUCACCCGGACCCGCUCCGCAACAGGUAAGCUGCCUCGCCCGAAGGUGACACCAGCUGCCUCAGGACCCCGGGAAGUUGAUUUUUGGCGGCGGGCGCUGCUGCGGUGCGCGCCUCAUUCCUGGACAUAAAAGGGAGUUCUCGCCGCUCGGUGCGCACUGGCUGUGCUGCCGCGGCUUCCCCUGAUGGUGCAGAGGGUUCGAGGAGGCGAA